AUAACAGUGAUCGAAAGUGCCUUAGUAGACCGUUCUGUGGGCAAGGCCAAAGUGUUUGAUAGGUUUCAGUUUGAGAGAGUGGGUUAUUUUUCUGUUGACCCUGAUAGCACAUCUGAAAAGUUGGUGUUCAACAGAACCGUUACGCUCAAGGAGGACCCAGGAAAGAUAUGACUGGACUUCAAGACAGAAGCUGUACUUUCAGCUGCACAGCCUUAAUGCAUCACAACGCAGCUUUCAGUAAAAUCAGAUAAACCAGGGAAUUCAACGUAUUCUAUCAAUAUUGUGUAAAGCCUUUUUUUUAACUGUGCAAGUGCUGGGCUGUUUUGUAUACCCUUUUCAAUCUGCUGGGGUUCGGCAUCUAUGAAAUAAACUAAUUAAAGAUUU